rnacentral:rRNA from 1 species
AACGAACGCUGGCGGCAUGCCUAACACAUGCAAGUCGAACGAGACCUUCGGGUCUAGUGGCGCACGGGUGCGUAACGCGUGGGAACCUGCCCUUAGGUUCGGAAUAACUCCCCGAAAGGGGUGCUAAUACCGGAUAAUGUCUUCGGACCAAAGAUUUAUCGCCUUUGGAUGGGCCCGCGUUGGAUUAGCUAGUUGGUAGGGUAAAAGCCUAUCAAGGCGACGAUCCAUAGCUGGUCUGAGAGGAUGAUCAGCCACGCUGGGACUGAGACACGGCCCAGACUCCUACGGGAGGGAGCAGUGGGGAAUACUGGACAAUGGGCGAAGGCCUGAUCCAGCAAUGCCGCGUGAGUGAUGAAGGCCUUAGGGUUGUAAAGCUCUUUUACCCGGGAUGAUAAUGACAGUACCGGGAGAAUAAGCUCCGGCUAACUCCGUG